UAACGAAAAGGAAAGAGAUAGGGUUAACAAAUGACACUUUAAGCUAUUCAUUUAUAUUUAUUGAAUAACUAUUACUGCUGGUACAGUGCAAGGAAAUUGGUAAAGAGCAGUAAUGAAGGAAGGAAGUUCCUCUAUCUACUAGUAUUUAUAUCAAAUUAAUUAUUUGAUUUAAAUUAUAACAUAGAGAAGGCAAAGAAAGCACGAAGUCAAGUAAUUCAGCAAAGAACAAAGAAAAUAGGUAGAGGUCAGGUCAGGUCAGGCUUUUCAGGCCACAUUCAAGGUAUCCAAUAUAGCUAAAUCACAAUGGAAAGGAAAUGAGGUAACAUAAUCAGAAUUGUCCUUUUAAACAGUUAAAUAUGAUGGGUUAAAGAUAUAUGUUCAUGAUCCUAUUGAAAUGACACUGAAAUGACAAUACAGCAAUAAAAGGCUAUAAAUAUUAUUGGACAAAAAGAAUAGUAGAGGACACAGUAGAUGAUCAAAAAAAAAAAAAAAGAUGUCAAUGGUUUUACAAGAUGGAAGCAGGUGAAGAAGUAAUACCUGCCUUCUUAAGCAGAGGGAGCUUAAUCUUCCAGAGGCAGAUAGCAAAUGUGAAGCUAGUGUUUUGUCUCACAGACCCUCAAAAAAUGAAAAUAUGAGGUACCUUGUACUUAUUCUGCAGAAGAUGGGAGAGGGUGAGAGGCUUAAAGGUGAAGUUAGGAGUUAGUGUAGUUCUUAAGUUGUCUUAAGCUGUCUGCUCAAGACUCCACCCAUACAACUCUUGCAGUCAGGUGAUUACCCUAACUAAUCUUACAAUAAAAAGUUUUUCCCUAGAGAUAGAAAGGCUCCAGACACAAGACAACAGAAUUUCAAGGAGGUGUGAUGUGGGCCCAGAAAAAGGAGGGUUAAGUAAAAGAAGGCAGACUUUAUUACUCCACAUAUCUAAUGAAAGAUUAGAUCAUUCCCCUCUGAUAUUUUGGGGUGCUCCACUUCAAAAUAUUCUGAAUCACUUUUCAACACCUGAGAAAAUCCCACAACAUAAAAAAAUAAACUAAGAACAAAAAAAAAAAAAAAAGGGAGGGGAUACAAAUGAACUUAACGGCAAAACAAAAACAGACUCAGAGACAGAAAACAAACUAUGGAAAGUCAGGAGCUAUACAUUAGGAAUUUGGGGUUAGCAGAUAUAAACUACUAUACAUAAAAAAGAUAAACAACAGGGUCUUACUAUAUAGCACAUUGGACUAUAUUCAAUAUUGUAUAUUAACCUAUAAUGGACAUUCAUAUAGAGAUAAUUUAUGUACAUACAUGUAUAUAUACCUUAUUUUGCUGUAUACCAGAAACUAACACAAUAUUGUAAAUCAACUCCAUGUCAAUUAAAAAAAAAAGACAGUCAAGGAAAUUGUCCCAAAGUUCAACAACAAGGAUAUGGUAUAGAUGGAAAAUAGAAUAGCAAAAAUUAAAGCCUCAAUCCUGCUGGUAAAAAAUCCAACAUAAAGGAGUUCCAGACUCAAAAUAGUAAUAGAAAAAUAGAAGGCAAAGAAUUACUGAAGGAAUAAAUCAAUAGAAUUUUCAAAACUUGAGGUUUUCUCAAAACUGAGUCUCUGAAAUGCUCAUAAUAUCUAUCAAGAUGAAUGAACAAAGUGAACACAAUGGAAAAAGAGACAAUACCAACCCUUCUAGAGUGAUGAAUCAGGCUGAUUAAAAGGAUCAGGAGUCAGACUAGAACCUGACUUCUCAGUAACAAUACCCAUGUAUGCAAGCCAGAGGUCUGGUUAUCAUCAUCACUAGCUGGAAGUGAAUGGCAAGGCCAUUCUCCAAACUAAGGAAUAAAGAAGCAGGCCAAAGCAUGUAGAGGAAGUUAGGAUUGGGCCUUUAUGAGUCUGAGCUACUAGCGAACACAAAAAAAGGUGAUAAAACUUUAAGUAAGUUGAAAUGUAAUAUUUGUCUGUGAUCUUCAUUUUUAGACUGGAGUCACCUGUUCUGAGAUUUCUUCAUUUACUCACCCUGUAUUUGGCUUCAAGUAAUAUUUGAAAUUAUAGUCUCAGGAAUGAUUCUCAAGUUCCCUUUUCCUCAGGGAGAUGUCUACCUAAAAAGAUAACUCCCUUUCCUCCAUAGUCUUUAAAGGGUCAUGGGAAGAGAAAAAGAAAGAACUGGAAGAGGAUUUGAACAAGCAGGGAAAUCAGGAAGUGUUGGAUGUCCAAAAUUACCACUCAAGAGGCUAGUUUAGCUCACACAGAAGUUCUCUUGGGCUCUUCACCCCCAAACCAAUUCCUCCUCUACUCAAUGCAAAGGUCAUUCAGAAGGAAGCUGUGACAAAGCAUUUACAUCCUGCAUGUUUUGACACGUUUUGACAUACAGCCUGCAUGUUUUGACAUCAGUGCUUGCCAUAGCACUUAGCAGAGCAAAUGGUGCUGAGUAAAUGUCAGUCUAACCUGUUCUCCCCGUCUUCACUAUUUCAGCAACUUCUUCAGGGUGUUGAUUGGGAAGUAUAUGAAAAUCUGUAUUGCAUGGUUUGUUAGGCCAUUAUUAGUUAAAAUAUUUGGCAAGGAAAUUUAAAAUUGUAAAUUUAAAUCCUUGUCAUCCUAUCCUUCAUUG
rnacentral:lncRNA from 1 species